rnacentral:tmRNA from 1 species
GGGGCUGAUUCAGGAUUCGACGGGAAUUUUGCAGUCUGAGGUGCAUGCCGAGGUGCGGUAGGCCUCGUUAACAAACCGCAAAAAAAUAGUCGCAAACGACGACUCAUACGGUUCUGUACGCCUCGCGGCGUAAUUUAGUCUAAUACACUAACAGACCACUCUUGCCCUAGCUUCCGCUUGUAAGACGGGGAACAACAAGAGUUCAAAACCAAACCAGCUCGUGCAGCGUCUCCCGCCUGAGAGACAAAGCAUUAAAAUUAAUUCAGGAUAGCCAUUAGAUAGCGUGUCGGUUCGCAGUUUGAUGGUGAAAUUAAAGAUCGACUAAGCAUGUAGUACCAAUGAUGAAUGAUUUUCGGACGCGGGUUCAAAUCCCGCCAGCUCCACCA